UGCUUACAAUGACUAUUUUAUUAUUAACAAAAGGAAAUGAUACGCUGGAAGGAACAGCAUUGUAAGGAAUAGAUAAUUUUGUCUUUUCCAUAUCCCUCUAUAGAAAGUUACUGCUGCUGAUAGCUUUGAGAGUGAGUCUGUUCUUGGAGGGGCCUAACGAAUCUGUGGGAUAAAACACAGGGGAGACAGUGGAACAAAAGCUGUAAAGCUGAGCAUGGGACAGAAAUCCAGUUACUGGUCCUGAGGACAAUUCUAAUCUCUUUGUUAGGGAUUCUAAUCUCUUUGUUUGGUGAAGGAUCUAGAAUGGAAGACAUUAUGAGGAGAGAUGUAUGGGUAAGGUAACAUGCCAUCAGUCUGUAUAUUUUUGUGAGAGUAAAAGAAAAUGACUGAGCAGGAGGAUGUGUCAUUCUGCACAAGCAACCCAGGUAGUAUUUCGGCAAGGACAGCAACUGGGAGGAUUACUUGUUCAUACAUGGUGCAUGGUGACUCAGUGGCUCUCGCUGGAACCUCUGAGGUGAGAGAAAAUCUUCUCUCCUAUCUGAGUGCCCAUGGCACCUGGCUUUAUAAUUACGAUCAGACUUGAAUCCUGGUUUUGGUUCUGCUGAGUCACAAUGAUUCCUAAUCCUGACCACACUGGAGAAUUAAAGGAUACUGUUUUGCCUAACUAUCCUUUUCCCACCACUGACACUGAUUUAUUGAUGUGUCAUAUGUGAUUUAUUUAAAAAGUAUUUAUGAUGCAUGGCUUGCAAAAUGUUACAAAACCCAGAUACUUUCACAAGGUAAGCUUGUAGCUGCAAGUCAACUCAAGGCGUGACCUAUAACACCUAUAGAGAUGGAAGAUUCAGCCUUCUGAACGCCCUCUUCUCAUGUCAAAGGGCAGACAUUCCAAGCUAGCCUUAAGAUGUCUCAUUUGGACUCCCACUGCAGGUCUUGAGGCAUUCAUAUAAAUUGUUUAGUAACUUAAUAUUAGUAGAUCUAGUCUUCCACUCCUGGAUGUAUUUUGGAAGGAUCAAAGAUGUGCUGGGACAUACCAUGCCCUGUGCAGGUAGAAGGGCUAUGGACCAGGUUUACCUUGCAGACUGAUUUGCACAGUGGCUGAGUGCCCUCGGGAAAAUAAUCUUGAUAUGCAUCAAGUACUCAUCAGGAAAUACAUUCAUAAAGAACUCAGAAAAAUUGUAUUCUUCAGGACACAAUUCAAUAACUAAAUACAAGAAUAAAGAACAACCCCUCCACA
rnacentral:lncRNA from 1 species